UACGGAGGGGGCUAGCGUUGUUCGGAAUUACUGGGCGUAAAGCGCGCGUAGGCGGACCUGCAAGUCGGGGGUGAAAGCCCGAGGCUCAACCUCGGAACUGCCUUCGAUACUGCGGGUCUCGAGUCCGGGAGAGGUGAGUGGGAAUUCCUAGUGUAGAGGUGAAAUUCGUAGAUAUUAGGAAGAACACCAGUGGCGAAGGCGGCUCACUGGCCCGGUACUGACGCUGAGGCGCGAAAGCGUGGGGAGCAAACAGG
rnacentral:rRNA from 1 species